rnacentral:rRNA from 1 species
GGGAAACUUACCAGGUCCAGACAUAGUAAGGAUUGACAGAUUGAGAGCUCUUUCUUGAUUCUAUGGGAGGUGGUGCAUGGCCGUUCUUAGUUGGUGGAGUGAUUUGUCUGGUUAAUUCCGUUAACGAACGAGACCCCCGCCUGCUAAAUAGGUCCGUGAAUGAAUUUCAUUGACGAGAUCUUCUUAGAGGGACUUUUGGUGACUAACCAAAGGAAGUUGGGGGCAAUAA